AUGCAGUAUAACGCUCUCCUCUCCGAUUUUCCUGUAAUUUUGUAAAUAUGUGUAUUUUUAUGCGUAGAAUAUAUUCUAAGAAGGAAAAUCGUCGCUCAAGUCCCGUUUUUUUUCUUUUUAAUUUUAAAGGUUUUUAACGUCGGUAAAUAGGAAAAUGAUAAUUUUAAACAUAAUUAUAAACAUUUUCUCACACAUUUUCUUUUGCAAGUAUCUUUAUAUUUGUAUAGAUGAAAUUGGAGAUUUAUGCCCACAGCUUGGUAAGCAAAAUUGGCAUUACUUAUAAUCAUAAUAUUUUAAUGUAUACAUAUUCUGAACUGCCUUUUAUUGAUAAAAUACCUUUAAAAGUGGCUUGUAGUCAAUCGAAAGACUUAUAAGCCACUCUUAAAGGCACUUUCAUCGAUAAACAGAUAUAUUGUUUAUAAAUCAUUGAGUAAAUGAAAAGUAUUGUUUGUAUAAAUAGUAUAAUUCUAACAUACAACAUAAGCAACAUAUUUAUCUGCAAUGUUAGAUUGAACUACAUGUUAUAUUAAUAUAAUAAUAAUGCAAUAUGUAGAAAUAUUAUGUAUAAUAGUUUUUAUUUGAAUAUUUUUCCUGGCGGUACAGAAAUUUGAAAUUUGUAAUCGUAUUGAAUAUUUUUGUUCGAAACAAAUAAUGGAAUUAAUUAAUUAAUUAUAUGAUAUAGAUAAUGGAACCAUUAUAUAUGAAUUGCCACAUUCUGCUGCAGCUGUAUGCGAUAAAUAUUUCAUAUGAGACAUUGAAGAGCUUCUUAUAUCUUACGUAAGAGAACGAAGAGAAUUAUGGGAUCACACAUUGCCAAUUAGAAAAAAAUCUCGAGAUAUAAGCGUAUUUUACAUGGAUUGUUUAAUACGCAUAUUAAAUAGUAAAUAACUAGUGCAUCCGUUUAGUCAGUAGCCUAGUUUACACCGAUCGUUUGAUACGCGUAUCAAAUAGUACAUUUGAGCUAAUCAGCUAAUGACUAAACGGAUGCACUAGUUACUUACUAUUUAAUACGCGUAUUAAACAAUCGGUGUAAAAUACGCUAUUGGCUGAUUAGCUCAAAUGUACUAUUUGAUACGCGUAUCAAACAAUCGGUGUAAACUAGGCUAUAAUCGCAACGCACUGGCAGGAAAUCUCAAAACAAUUAAAUGGAAAUCUAACGCCAAAUGCUGCUUGCAAGAAAUGGCGAUACCUCAAGGAUUCAUAUAUACGUAUUCGCAAUGAUUUCACGAAGAAAAAAAGUGGUUCAGCUGCUAGUAAACCUAUCAAAUGGAAA